UCGACAAGCUCACCAAUGUUUUUGACGAUUUUCAGGCUGUGGCCAAUUGUCUGGAAGCAUUCUCCAUUGCUCAGCAACCUGGAAAGAAAACAAGGACAUACAGAGUGAACUCACAGACUGGGACUACUCUUUGAAUUAU